UGACCCCCUAGUAGUAGGAGUAGUAGUAGCCCAAACUUCUCUUCUUCCCCACUUCGUUCUCGCCUGCGGCGGCGCUCUCUGGACUCUGGGCCCUGGCCCGUUCGUCUCAACGAAGCACUCACACCUCCGGCGACCACGAAGCAAUCGCCAUUAGUCUCUCGGUGUCCUCCUCUUCCUGCUCCCUCCAGGCGGACUCAGAUUGACUACCUCUCUCGUCGGGGAGCAACCAUGAUGGAGGUGGGUUUGAACCCCGGGGAGGAGCUGGACUUCGGGGGCAACCAGGACGACGACGACGACGCGGGGGACAUCUCGCCCGGCAGCAAGGAGCUUGCCGCCAUGGUCGAGGCGGCGGCCGCGGCGGAGACCGUCGAGCUUGACGGCGGCGUCGGCGUCGAGGCGGCCGCCACCGCCGCCGCCGCGUCGUCGUCGUCGUCGUUAGCGGCGCUGCAGUACGGGGACGACCGCACGCCGCGGGACGGGAUGGUGUUCAAGUCCUACGAGGAGGUGCUCAACUUCUACAAGCGCUACGCCCUGCGCACGGGCUUCGGCGUCUGCGUCAAGAAGUCCUCCUUCACCAAGGCCGGCCUCUGCCGCCGCCUCGUCCUCGUCUGCAACAGGUGGGGCACCGGCAAGGAGGACGCCUGCUACCAGGCCAGGCCCACGGCCAAGACCAACUGCCAGGCCACCGUCGUCGCCAGGCUCUGGGUGGACAACUUGCUGCACCUCACGGAUGUGAACCUCGAACACAACCACGCGCUCAACCCGUCCGCUGCUCGCUUCCUCAGGUGCUACAAGACGCUGCCUAGCGGGUUGAGCAAAGAUCUCGUGGUGAGGGCUGCCAGAGGAGAAUGCUCGGCAGCGGGUGACAUUGAUGUCCCGAUAUUUGAUGAAUGGGGGCGGCUUAAGAUUGGGGAAGCUGAUGUCGUGGCCAUCAACGGUUUCUUUGCCCAGAUGCAGGCAAAGCUGCCAAACUCCUUCUAUGUCAUGGACUUUUAUGUGGAGGGCCAUCUGAGGAGUGUUCUCUGGGCUGAUUCCAGAUCCAGGGCAGCGUAUCAGUAUUUCAGCGAUGCUGUUUGGAUUGAUACGACGUGCUUAAGGAACAAGUAUCAUGUCCCACUUGUUUCAUUUCUGGGUGUCAAUCAUCAUGGUCAGCUUGUAUUGUUAGGCUGUGGAUUGCUGUCAGAUGAGAGUACAGAGAGCUUCUUCUGGCUGUUCAAGUCAUGGUUAACUUGUAUGAAGGGACGGCCUCCAAAUGCCAUAGUUACUGAUGAAUGUGUGGCGAUAAAAGCCGCAGUUCAGGAAGUGUUUCCAAAGAUACGCCAUAGAAUAAGUGAUUGGCAUGUAAUAAGAAGUAUUUCAGAAAAAAUAGGUGACUUGCCAGAAUAUGAAGCGAUGAGAACCGAUUUGGUCAGUGUAAUAUAUGAUUCUUUGAUCAACAAUGAGUUUGAGGCAGGGUGGAAGAACUGGGUUGAUAGAUUUGGUCUUCAGGAUAACGCAUGGAUCGUCUAUCUGUAUGAGAAUCGGCACUUGUGGGCCCCUGCCUUCCUAAAGGACACCUUCUGGGCUGGGCUCUGCACCGUUAGCCAGCGUGAAAGUCCAAGCACAUUUUUUGAGGACGCAGUCAGUUCAGAGACCACAUUGGUGUCGUUCCUUGCCAGCUACAUGACACUUUUGGAUAACAGAUACAAAAUGGAGCAACAAGCUGAUUUUGAUUCAUUAAAUAGCAGCAGGGUCCUGAUAUCAAAGUACCAAAUGGAAGAACAGCUAUCUAGAUUGUACACCUUGAAUAUGUUUUUGAAGUUCCAGGAUGAGCUAAAGGCGACCAUGCAUUGUCAAGUUCAGCUGGAUGGGUCGGCAUCUUCUUUUAUGGUUAUUGAUUUGACUGAAGCAGGGAAUGAAAUGCUGAAUAAAAAGUACGAGGUUGUUCACUGUAUGGAGACAAACAGGAUGGAAUGUAACUGUGGCCUAUUUCAGUUUGGUGGUAUCGUUUGUCGGCAUGCAUUAUGUGUGCUUAAAUGCCAGCAAUUAUACGACAUCCCCCCUAGUUAUGUAAUUGACAGGUGGCGGGCUGACUUCAAGCAGUUGCACUACCCAGAUAAUCCAUCAAAGGAUUUAGCAACAAGUAAUCACGUCGAGCGUUAUGAUUAUAUUUCUUUGCAGUUUCUUCGUCUUGUUGAGAUUGGGAUGGCAUCAGACGAGAAGUAUAGGCAUGCAGUAAGGCUUCUUAAAGACAUGAAAGAAACCCUUCUUGAUGAUAAUCUGUGCCGUGAUUUGGAGCAGAAACUUACACCAGCUGAGCGUGCGAUUGUGAAUGGUGACAACCAUACACAACCUGGUUCAUCUGAGGGCGGUCCAACGAAAAAGCGGAGAGGCCGUCCUCCUAAAAAGAAUAAAGAGAUAAACGUGGAUUCUAUGGACUCCUUACUAGUAUCCUCAGAUGUAACUCAGAAGGGUGUUUUUCAUUCUGCUUCAACUACCUCAAACCUUGGUACUCAUAUCCGGACACCUGGCAUGGUUGAUCUCAUGGAAGAAGUGCAUCCAAGUGAGCUGUCAUUUGAUAGCCGUUAUGGGGUGCAAUCUGGCCCCACACACCAUUUUGGUAACCAGCUAAAUGCGGGAAACACUUUGCAGUUUGGCCAAUCUACAUCAGCAGCAGAGCACUCUAGGGUUCAGUGGGUGUUUCCUAAUGGCAUGUAUCAGGAUGACCAAGUGACUUACGGUAGACGGACAUCAUAGCAAUUGGACUUAGGGUCCAGGGUUUGCCAUAUCAGAACAGGAAGGUCAUGAAAAUCAGCUUAAGAAGUCCAUUGGCAUAUAAGUAGAAGGUUUUCAUCAUGGUAAUCUGGUCAGGGAUCCUCUGUUUGGACUUUGGAGCACCGAGGACACCAUUGUGGUUGGAAUGUCGAGCCUUGGGACUUGGGAGAUGCAUGGUGUUCCUGGGUGCCUGCUCUGGGUGGUUUUUUUGGCAACGGAUCUAGUGCAAACUCAUCUCCCGUGCAAGUUGUGCAAACUCUAAUCUGGACCAUAGGAUGUUGAUCCAAGGGGCACGGAUAGAUUGGGUAAUUUUGCACUUAACCGCCUGCUCUUAAUCACACUUUUACAAACCUCUCCUUCCACCUCUCUCAUGCGCCCCCUUGGAUCAACAUCCUGCGGUCCAGAUGAGAGUUUGCACAGUUUGCACGGGAGAUGAGUUUGCACUAGAUCUGUUGCCGGUUUCUUUUGUAGGAACAUAGCAUCAAUCUUACCCAUCUAACAUGUAGAAAGUGCUAAGAUAGAAAUCCAUCAUUCCUUACCUGCUGUAGAAAGUGCUGAGCUAAACUCCAGAUGAAGUGAUGAUACAAGGCGUGGUUAGCGGCUAACAAGAAAUUGAGAGCUUCGUUUACUUUUUUUUGUUGAUAAUACAAUUUUGCCUCAUGAUGAUCAGCUAAAAAGGGAGGAAUAUCCCUGCUCUUCCUCUGGGAAAGUUGCAAAACCA